ensembl:lncRNA
CUUUUGUUAAAAUUAUUUUUGUUUGAUUUAUAAUGACUUCUGAAAGAAUGAUAUUGAGUGACCCAGACUAUCAAUAAAGAUAAUUAUUUUUUUAAAAACUGCAGCGGUGGUUUUGCCCCGCCCACAUUGUUGCUACGGUUUCCUCUGGAAUCUGUUGUACUGCUUAUAAACACCUGUGGUUCCAUUUUUAGCAUGAGGAUUCCAUCCAGAAUGUCUACACAAGGUAAAUGCAUGUAUCUAAGGGAAUCAGAUGUUACUAUGUUUUUUCUUUGUGGCCAGCAACCCCUGUCUCCCUCCCCAAAAGAAGUUACAAGGUCUGAGUAUUUUUAUUCUGGAAAAAUACCAAGAUUGUCAGUGUUCUUCUGUUGGGUCAGAGGAGAAGACAUGACUGGGAAAGGUAAGGUUUAGACCAAUGAAAGAUGGAGUUUACUUUUGCAGGAGACCUGAAUGGGCGUCUAGAAAAGCGUGGAAUGACCAUCUUGAGAACCUGAAGCCCAGAAAAGAUUAAGAUGCUUUUUUAUUCUAGAAUUCAAAUGGAAAAUAAGACUAAACUGGGAAAUAAGCAUAACAAACCAGUUGACUUCUUAUUUUUCCAAAGUUGCUGCUUCCAAAUGCAUUUCACAUCAACUGAAGAGUUUUCUAAAUGGGUGACCUUCACAUCCUUGUACGGGAGAAAAUACAAAAUGAGACCUGGGAUUACCAUUUUAAAUGGAAUUGCUAUAGUAGAGAGAAAAAUAGCUCCUCGGGGCCCUUGAAGCUGAGUUGAUUAGUCACAAAGAGCUAGAGGCAGAACACAUCUCCUCCUGCUAUUUUAGCUGAAUUUCUUGACUGGUUUUUAGGUUCUAGGCUUUAAAAUGGAAAUCCCCAAAGCAAAGAAUGGUGUGUGAAGAAUGAGAACAUUUGUUCAGCGUCUGGGCCUUCAGAUCUGCGCUCAUUCACGUGGCCCAACAAUACCAUCCAUUCUUUCGCCAAAUAGUCAUUGAGCACUACCUAUGUGCCCGGUUUUUAUACACACACACACACACAUGCACCCACGCACACUCAUGCACGCACACACACCACCUAUAUUUUACAUAGGUAUAUAAGUAUCUUUCAGAAAGUGCUAGAGAAAACAACAGUAUGUCGAAAGAGGAAAAAGGAGUGUGGUAGGCAGGCAAGCUCGCUCAAUUAGGGUGACCUGUGACCAGAAUCCUAAAGUAAAUGAGAAGAAACGUAAACGUGUGUAAACCCACAUGUGGGAGCUGCUUGGCAUGUUUAAGGAACAGCAGGACGGUCCCAGUAUCUGGAGCUGAGUGAGUGAGUAGUAUGGGAUGAGGCCACAGAGAUAAGGCCUUAACCUCCUUCUCUUCCUCUUCCCUCCCUUCCUCCUUCCUUCCUUCCUUCUGUGUAUUCAUUUGCCACACAGUUAGAUUCAUUUGUUUCAAUUUGCUUCCAGUGUCAAUUUUAUUUUUCUGUCCAUAUUGAUUUAAUUCCAUUUUCAACUAGGUAGGAUAUUAAGAUGCUUUCGAAACCCAAAACCAUGCAAACUGAUAUACUCCGAGAAGUGUCGCCCCCUCCUGUCUCCCUUCUACCGUCCCUGCCUUAUGGACCACCAGCUUCAUUAUUUUCUGGGUUUUUAUUAUUCCUGUGUGUUUUGUUUGUUUGAUUUUUUUUUGGGGGGGGGUAAGGAUAAGAAAACAGGUGCAUAUUUUCUUAUUUUCUCUUCUUUGUUAUGAAAAUUUUGGCAUUUUAUUUUUUAUUUUUUUAAUUUUUUUU